GUCAAACCUGUAGGGUUUUCGUCCUUCAAAAUAAUGUAAACAAUAUAAAUAUAUUGACCGGGUAAUAAUAACCCGAAACAGACUAUCCCUUACUGAAGCGUGUACUUGGUUUUUGACAGCGCAUGAAAAGAGGCGCGUGUUUAUGUUUACGCUGUGGACAGUUGAGAGUGAACGUUUGGCGCGGAAGUGUAAGUGCGAUUGAAUUGUGCUGGAACCGGUUGGCGGAAUCCGGAGCAGGACACGACGGAAGCGGACAUGAGGUCAGUGGGUGGUUGGGAGGUUAAUGAUCGGCAGCGAUGGUGCUGCGUCCGGAACGUCGUGUCUCAAGGAGUCCCGGUUGCGACUCUACAUCUGGCGACGAGGAGAAAAGGACCGUUUUUUUAUCAGAGGGAGAAGAAGGGGACAACGGACCAGUUUCCGGGUGUCGUCAAAUUUUAAACGAGCGAUUGUGUGGGAAUUGUAAAAUUGAUAAUUUGAUUCUGGUAGUGAAGUGGUGAAGCGAGUGUGGUUUCUCGCAAGAUUGUUGAUGAGAAGAAAAUAGUAGAAAUUAUUGAAAGUGGAAGCGAAAGUAAAAGUAAAAUGGUUGAUUGUUUUCCCGGAGGGCUUGUCGUUGUUUAUGAUUUGAUUCUUGACAGUUUGGCUAGAGGGCCUUACUGCAGUAGAAGAUGUGCUGAGCUGGAAGGGUCAUGGAUCGAAUAUUUGGCUAGGGACCAAAUGUUCUAAAAUGAUCGGGCUCUGGAAAUGAAUUUGGCUAGGGGGCCAAAUGAUAAAAAAAAACUUAGCAAAAGCUAGGGGGCUCAAAAUUGAAUUUGACUAGGGAGCCAAAUGAUCAAAUGUUUGCAAGAGCUAGGGGGCUCUGGAGUUGAAUGAUUUGGCUAGGGGGCCAAAUGAUUUAAAGUUUGCAAGAGCUCGGGGGCUCUGGAGUUGAAUGAUUUGGCUAGGGGGCCAAAUGAUUUAAAGUUUGCAAGAGCUAGGGGGCUCUGGAGUUGAAUGAUUUGGCUAGGGGGCCAAAUGAUUUAAAGUUUGCAAGAGCUAGGGGGCUCUGGAGUUGAAUGAUUUGGCUAGGGGGCCAAAUGAUUUAAAGUUUGCAAGAGCUAGGGGGCUCUGGAUUUGAGUGAUUUGGUUAGGGGCCAAAUUAAAUAAAGUUUGCUAGAGCUAGGGGACUCUGGAGUAACAUGAUGUGCUAGGGGGGCAAAUGAUCAUAAGUUUGCAAGAGCUAGGGGGCUCUGGAUUUGAGUGAUUUGGCUAGGGCCAAACGAUUGUAAGUUUGCAAGAGCUAGAGAGCUCUAGAGUUCAAUGAUGUGACUCUUAAAUUACUCAAUUUUGGCUAGCGGUUACAAUCUAUAAAGAUUUGCCAGAUCCUGGGAGAUAUAAAUAUCAGUGAUUUGGCUUGGGGGCUAAAUUUUGAUAGCGUGGAGAAACUAGAAGGCUCUACAGUAAUAUAACUAUUGCAGAGAUGUCAUAUGUCUUUUGAUUAUCCGAUUUAAGAGGCACCUUAAUUUAUUUAAAAGAGCUAAAUGUUUGACAAGAGUCAAAGGAAUUGAAUUUGUACGAAUUGAUUCCCAGUACGUUGUUGUAUUUAAAAGAUGUUUCCUAGUCAAAUCUGAAGUAUUCAAAAGUAAAAGUGAUUUCUCGAUAGGUGUAUAAUCGAGGCAAAAUCUUGACGGAGUUUGAGGACAAAAUGUAACUGAAAGAUUUCCGAGUCGAAUUCAUUGACAGUGUUCUAUAUAUUUGACAGAAAAGGUUUGCUUUGGUUUGAGAGCCAAACGAUGAUCAAAUUUUAAUGUGCAAAGACUUGAAGACGAAACAUUUGAGACUAGUGGUCGGAUGUGGUUGGAAAUGUGACAAGAACAAAACGCAUGCUGCAGUUUAACUCACUUUACUGCAAUAUUAAUUAGACGAUAUUUGGUUAAAGGAGUUUGAAGUUGAAAAAGGCUUCAAUUGAAAUGAUUCAACUCUUCCAUGUUUGUUAUGAUUAAAAUUCCCACCAGGAAAUAUUUGUGAACCAUUCAAAACAUAAAUGUGCUAAUUGUUUCAAGUUUUCAAAGUGCCUUUUGUUUUGUUUGGUGUUUAAAACAAUAGUAAGGUCUUUCUUCUUAUCAUUGUGGCGCAUAUGAGAGCAAGCUAGAUGAAAGAAAAGGAAAGAGAUGAGAGGUUGGCAAGUGUUGGACGAACAGUCCAAAGGUAGACCGAAGGUGAUCCACAGGUUGGCGGGUUCGAAGUGCAUAACAGGUUUUAGUUAGAGGUUUGCAGCAGAGACCACCGAAGGUUGUAAUGCAGAUGAUUUAGUAAGUUGUUUACAUUCCUAAUGUUUUGUGCCUAGUCUAAGUCGCAAAGUAUCAAAAUGUUUUCCAGAUACAGAAUUGCUAAAAUAAUAGGUAAUGAUGGAACACGCGAUGGAUUGUAAUUUUUCAAUUGAAGUUGGUUAAAUGUUUGUCUGAACUAGUCGAUUAAAAAUAAAUGUUCGGCGAAAAAAAAAGAGAACUUUGAAUGCAUGAUGUUUUUAAAGAUUUAAUUAUUCAAGUGGUUUGUGUUACUUGUUGGUUUUAUAUUUUUUCUGUGAUUUGUGAAAGCAUACUGUAUUAGUACACUGAAUUAUGUUUUGAGAAACGUAGAAUUAUGACAGUUGGAAAUUGUAUGGAUCUAAGAGUUUUCAUUUUUUUUUAAACAUUUUUAAGUUGAUGGCCACUGAUAAAUGUAAACGUAAUUGAAAAAAAGUAUUGUGUUGUUUUAUUGAUACUUAUUAAACAUUAUAAAAAUGAUAAUGUUUAUAGACAUGACAAUUUACUGAUUCAAAUACUAGUAUACAGGAAGGCUGCAUAAGGUUCGAAAACAUUGAUUGUGUUUUUGAAUAAGUAAAAUACUACAUGUAAAAUAUAUAAGAUUGAGAACAGUUGAAAUACGAGAGUACUGAUGCAUUUGUUUUGAAUGGCUAAAGUAACGUGUUUAUAAAGAUUGGAUUUAUUAAGGUUCAGAUCGAAAGUCGAGAUGAGAGGUCUUGUAUAAUAAUAAAUAAUAAUAUUAAAUUAAAGUGUUAUUUGUUCUAUGAUGGAAUUGAAGGAUUGGUGAACUUCAAUAACCGUUCAAAAGUUAGUUAUCAUCUCAGUUUUAUAAAAUAAUUGUUAAAGGGCUAAUCACUCCUGAUAUUAUGAUGAUUAUGAAAUCUCUUUCGAUAUGCAGCAAAGGUAUACUACGUGAAUAUUUUAGCAAAUAUGAUAUAACCAAAGUGAUAACCUCUUCUAUUGCUGUUUAGCUUGGAACAGUAAAGUUCUCUUCUUCGGUACGGAAUAAGUUUUCGACUAAAUUUUCAAUCCAAUGGACGUCAGUUUAUGAGUGAUAACAAAAGUGAUCUAGCUAGUUAUUGAACUGAAAAUAAUCAAACUGUAUGAAUAUGUACAAUUUUGAAAUUUAUUCAGAUAAUAAAUGUUGAGAUUUCAUAACAAAGUGAUUGACCAGAAUUUCAAAAUAGAGAAAAGAUGAAAACAUUGCCCAAAUAUGAGUUGUUGAAUUCAAUGUAGUUAUGAAAUGAUAAAGAAUAAAAGAAUAGUCGAACUACUAAUGCAAUUUUUGGUAAAUGCGAUAGUAAAAUUAUAAAAAUGCUUUUCAGAGUUUGUUGUGUUGAUAAUAAAUUUAUGAUUUAUUAUUUUUUUAUGUUAAAUUUUUGGAUUAACUCCAGGAUUGAUAAAAAAAUAGAUAUUUUAUUUUAAAAGCAAUUCGAAUAAAGUAGGAUGUUUAGCACAUUCCAUUGGUAUGUUAUAUCUGUAAUAUGAUGACUUAAAUCCAUUGCAGCUUAAAUAGAUAAAUCUGUGUGUCUUGUAUGACAUCUUAUAUUGGGUUCAAAAUUCUCAGAAUUAUUCUCAUGAAGAAAUUGGGGCAUUGACAAAAAAAAAAAAAUCGGGAUAGAACGUGAUUUAAUGUUUUGAUAGCUUGAAGUGUAGAGAAAUCGUGAGAAUGUAUUUAUUAAUAUUGCAUAUUGGUCAUACGAAUGGUUUGAGGUUCAUUGAAGUAUACUAACUGUUUUCAAAAUUAUUCAAAAGGUGAAGUGGGAGAGCGGAUGAAGAACAUAGCUGGUGAACUAAUGAACAUCACUGUUUCAAAUGUGUUGAAGGAGAUUGAGUGUUACUUAAAAAAAAUAUGUUAAUUUUCACUUGUGUAGGAAAUAACUGAAGACGAUUUGAAUUCUAAUUUGUUUUGAAAAUAUAUAGUUCCAUUUCGGCAAGUAAUUGUGGCAGUUGAUAAGGACGUUGAUUUGUUUUGCCUUUAAUGUUGAAUUAUCAAACUUGUUUGCUAAGCAGUAAAUAAGCUUGGGAUCGCUAGAUAACUGGUUGAAACUGAUGUGUAUUUUGGUGUGGUUUUGUUUAGUUGAACUAAGGAUAAAUUAUUGAAGCAAGUGAUGAAGAGAUUAAAUAUUUGAAAUUGUCAAUGAGAGUGAAUUCAAAUCCAACAAAUGUUUUAUUUAAAGGAAGAUGGGGAUGUAGGGUUUUCGUCCUUCAAAAUAAUGUAAACAAUAUAAAUAUAUUGACCGGGUAAUAAUAACCCGAAACAGACUAUCCCUUACUGAAGCGUGUACUUGGUUUUUGACAGCGCAUGAAAAGAGGCGCGUGUUUAUGUUUACGCUGUGGACAGUUGAGAGUGAACGUUUGGCGCGGAAGUGUAAGUGCGAUUGAAUUGUGCUGGAACCGGUUGGCGGAAUCCGGAGCAGGACACGACGGAAGCGGACAUGAGGUCAGUGGGAGGUUGGGAGGUUAAUGAUCGGCAGCGAUGGUGCUGCGUCCGGAACGUCGUGUCUCAAGGAGUCCCGGUUGCGACUCUACAAAACCUCUCUGACCACCAGAUCCACUAUACAAACUUCUCAACUGAACCUAAAGUCGGGCAAUAGUGUGACAUCACCGUCCAGCUGCUGAUGACAACGUAACGGCUCCCGGUCUCAAACUCCACCGUUGAGCUAAGCAUCCUCGCAGUCAAACUCCUCCUGCAACAACCCGCCCACCAGCAGCAGCAGCAGCAAGAUUGUAUUUCCCCUUGUAACAAUACCACCAGGACACAACCAUCAAAGUGACAACAUGCCGAAGCUAACCGGGUGGGCUGACUUCGAACGGGUUGACCAUCCCGGUGUAGAACCUACAGCAGCUGACGGCGAACACGCUGUACUCUACCAGCGAUUGGACUGUUUUGCACCAACCUCCGGACUCGGUGAUAAUUCCGGCAGCGCAGAAACGGUCGUGGGAGAUUCGAUGCGGACAGGUUACGACUUUGCAAAUUCCGAUGGUUGGCGAGCAGUUUAAUCCGGUACAUGAAGUUGGUCAAACGGUGUACUUUCACGAGGAUUAUCAGGGGUCGGGAAUUGUCAAGAGGAGUACGAUGAAGCGCCGGAGGCCGAAUCGAUCGUACCAGAGGAAGAGGUUCCAGCAGUGGACGAUCACUACGGGGUGGAGCCACUGAAGCUGCCGGAGAUUUGGAACGAUUUGAUUACUGCCAACCAGGAGAUUUUAAUAUUGCACGAGUUGCAAGAUUUGAAGCACUACAUUGUGGACGCGAGGAAGAUCGAGGAUCAGCUGGUCGCUAUGACCUUCGACUACUGUCCCAAGGAGCUACCGGAUGUGGGCACUUGGAACCUUCACAUCAAGAAAAUACAAUCUUAUCGCCCGUUAUGAAAACCGCCACGCUGCCGCUGUACCGCACAACCACCGUCGGAGGAACCCCAGGCGGACACAAUCACUCAAUGAUAGAUCGAAGAAAAGCUGGUCGGACAGUAGGCCGGCAUAGUAGCUGCUAGUCGGUUCUCACGAAACUGGUUAGACGGCUGACAUAUUUUCGCAAGUUGCUAAUCUACGACAAACCCUUUUUGCGACAUCCUGUUUUCGUCUAGCACAUCCAACGCUUAGGACCGCAAAAGAUCCUAAAACAGUUCAACCACUUUUUCUCGAUUCUCGAUAAUGUUUGCAAUUAGUAUAUAGUGUGAUAGUGCAAAAAUGCAAAAUAGAUUUAAAAAAGUCGCUCAGUAUGCUGCUUCAUAAAUAAAAAAAUGUGUUUGAUGACAGCAAAAUUAAAGUCAUU